GACGGAAUAUGUCAUGUAGCGGUGAAAUGCAUAGAUAUGACAUAGAACACCAAUUGCGUAGGCAGUUUACUAAACCAUUACUGACGCUCAUGGACGAAAGUGUGGGGAGCGAACAGGAUUAGAUACCCUGGUAGUCCACACCGUAAACUAUGAUCACUAGAUGUUGGCGAUAUACAGUCAGUGUCUUAGAGAAAUCGUUAAGUGAUCCACCUGGGGAGUACGUUCGCAAGAAUGAAACUCAAAGGAAUUGACGGGGGCCCGCACAAGCGGUGGAGCAUGUGGUUUAAUUCGAUGAUACGCGAGGAACCUUACCAAGGCUUAAAUGUAAAACGACCGGUUGAGAAAUCAACCUUUUUUCGAACGAUUUACAAGGUGCUGCAUGGUUGUCGUCAGCUCGUGCCGUGAGGUGUCGGGUUAAGUCCCAUAACGAGCGCAACCCCUAUUUCUAGUGGCCAGCGAGUAAUGUCGGGAACUCUAGAGAAACUGCCCGUGCAAACGGAGAGGAAGGUGGGGAUGACGUCAAAUCAUCACGGCCCUUAUGUCUUGGGCUACACACGUGCUACAAUGGUCAAUACAGUGGGAUGCCAUCUGGUGACAGAGAGCAAAUCCAUAAAGUUGAUCCCAGUUCGGAUCGGAGUCCGCAACUCGACUCUGUGAAGUUGGAAUCGCGUAGUAAUCGCACAUCAGCCAUGGUACGGUG
rnacentral:rRNA from 1 species